rnacentral:rRNA from 1 species
UACGUAGGGUGCAAGCGUUGUCCGGAAUUAUUGGGCGUAAAGAGCUCGUAGGCGGUCUGUCGCGUCUGCUGUGAAAACUCGGGGCUUAACCCCGGGCCUGCGGUGGGUACGGGCAGACUAGAGUGAUGUAGGGGAGACUGGAAUUCCUGGUGUAGCGGUGAAAUGCGCAGAUAUCAGGAGGAACACCGGUGGUGUAGACGGCUUUCUGGACCAGUACUGACGCUGAGAGACGAAAGCGUGGGGAGCAAACAGG